GAUGAAGAACGUAGCGAAAUGCGAUAAGUAAUGUGAAUUGCAGAAUUCAGUGAAUCAUCGAAUCUUUGAACGCAUCUUGCGCUCCUUGGUAUUCUGAGGAGCAUGCCUGUUUGAGUGUCAUUAAAUUCUCAACUACACUGACUUUGAAUUGGUGUGGCUUGGAUUUGGGGGGAAAAUUGUUGUGGGCUUUUUGUAUAGUCUGCUCCCCUGAAAUUGAUUAGCGGUACCUUUGUGGAACUGUCUACAGGUGUGAUAAUUAUCUACAUCUUAGACAUCUGCUGGAAUGCUGCUUUCUAAACCUUACUUGUAUUGACAAUCUUGACCUCAAAUCAGGUAGGACUACCCGCUGAACUUAAGCAUAUCGAUAAGCGGAGGA
rnacentral:misc_RNA from 1 species